GGCUAUCACUGGCGCACGGGUGAGUAACGCGUAGGUUAUCUGCCCUUAUCCCCGGCAUAACGUCGAGAAAUUGGCGCUAAAACCGGAUGAGGCAUUAAUGUCAAAGGAUUAAACCGGAUAAGGAUGAGCCUGCGUCUGAUUAGCUUGUUGGUAAGGUAAUGGCUUACCAAGGCAACGAUCAGUAGCUGGUCUGAGAGGACGAUCAGCCACACUGGAACUGAGACACGGUCCAGACUCCUACGGGAGGCAGCAGUGAGGAAUUUUGCACAAUGGGCGCAAGCCUGAUGCAGCGACGCCGCGUGCGGGAUGAAGGGGCUUUGCCUUGUAAACCGCUGUCAAGAGGGAAGAGAAGUUGGAAUUCGUUCCGACUGGGACUGUACCUCUGGAGGAAGGGUCGGCUAACUACGUGCCAGCAGCCGCGGUAAUACGUAGGACCCGAGCGUUGUCCGGAAUUACUGGGUGUAAAGGGUGCGCAGGCGGGUCUGUGCGUCAGGGGUUAAAUACUUCGGCUUAACCGGAGAAAUGCCUUUGAUACGGCAGGCCUUGAGUGUGAGAGAGGAUGGUGGAAUUCCUGGUGUAGCGGUGAAAUGCGUAGAUAUCAGGAGGAACACCUGUGGCGAAGGCGGCCAUCUGGCUCACUACUGACGCUCAGGCACGAAAGCGUGGGUAGCAAACAGGAUUAGAUACCCUGGUAGUCCACGCCCUAAACGAUGUAUGCUUGGUGUUGGUUCAGAAAUGAAUCAGUGCCGGAGGUAACCCGUUAAGCAUACCACCUGGGGAGUACGAUCGCAAGGUUGAAACUCAAAGGACUUGACGGGGGCCCGCACAAGCGGUGGAUCAUGUGGUUUAAUUCGAUGCAACGCGAAGAACCUUACCCGGGCUUGAAG
rnacentral:rRNA from 1 species